rnacentral:lncRNA from 1 species
UUCAACUUGUGUUCGACUUGAUAUUUGGCUCGCUCGAGCUCGACUUGAAAUUAAACGAGCCGAGCUUGAACAAAAAGAAAGACGAAAUUUAUUUCAAGCCGAGCUUGAGUAUUACUCGGCUCGUUCGAAUUAGGCUCGAAAAGCUCGAAUAUAUAUAUAUAUAGUAGUGCUACUAUGCUAUCGAAAAAAUAAGGGAUCCGGUGCUUUCGAUUGGACUAAUACUAUUAUUACCUUGUAGGGACCACUCAAUCCUAGGGGUAUUAUUUAAUCCUAAAGGGGACCGCAAUCAUCCCAACCAUACAAUUCUUAAUCAAAUGGUCAAAAAUUCGAAAACAUCAAAUCCUCUAUAUUUUUGAUAGUAUAGUAGUUCUAUAAUAUAUAUAUAUAUUAAAAAAAUAUAAAUAUAAUAUAUUUUAAUUAUAUAUAGGCCGAGUGAAUAGUCUGAGUUAGUUAAAAUUGGGCCAAUGUUGUUGACCUAUAAAAACAAACCCAAUAGACAAAUAAAAGAGCAAAAUUUCACUAAAUUUAUACAUUUUUUCUUUCUUUCUUUUUUUGAGAGAGCUCUAAAUUUUCAAUAUGUUUCUCUCUUUCUCUUUUUCUGUCUCUCACCCUAAGUGGCCAAGCCGGAAGCCCUCCAAGUUACCAAGUAACAGCAUAUGUCCGCCGUUGCCUACCUUGCUAUUAAUUGUAUGCUUGAAAAAAUAUAUAGAAUAUUUUUAAAAUAAAAAAUUAUUAUUUAUAUAAAAUUUUAAUUUUAGUUAUAUAUGAUUGGAUAGUUUAAUCCAAUAUUUAUCUGUAUAAUUUAUUUAUUUUUGACUGCAUAAAUAAAAAUGAAUAAUAUGGAGAUUGAAUGCGGAAGAAAAGAUAUGUGAGGCUGAAAAGAUUAGAUAUUCAACUCAUAAUUUUUUUUUUUUUUUCAUAUUAUAAUACUAUAUUUCAUAUAAUUAUUUUGUACUUUGAACUAUUAGACAUAUUUUUGUAUCAAAUUAUAGAUAAUAUUCUAUACAAAUUAAACUAUUGAUCGUAUAAUGUUGAGAAUUUCAAGCGGCUCGUUUAGGACUCGAGCUCGCUCGACUCGAAAUUAGGCUCACUCGAGCUCGGCUCGAAUUAAUUUCAAUCCAAGCUUGAGCUUAAAUUUAGGCUCGA